GGUUUGACGGUACCUUUAAAGGAAGCACCGGCUAACUCCGUGCCAGCAGCCGCGGUAAUACGGGGGGUGCAAGCGUUGUUCGGAAUUAUUGGGCGUAAGGCGCGUGUAGGCGGUCUGAUUAGUCUGAUGUGAAAGCCCUGGGCUCAACCCAGGAAGUGCAUUGGAUACUGUCAGACUUGAAUACGGGAGAGGGUAGUGGAAUUCCUAGUGUAGGAGUGAAAUCCGUAGAUAUUAGGAGGAACACCGGUGGCGAAGGCGGCUACCUGGACCGAUAUUGACGCUGAGACGCAAAAGCGUGGGUAGCAAACAGGAUUAGAUACCCUGGUAGUCCACGCCGUAAACGAUGAGAACUAGGUGUCGCGGGUA
rnacentral:rRNA from 1 species